GCAGUUUUUACCCGCUGUUCCCGCCCUCGGAGGAGCUGAACGUUCACCUGGAGGCGCUGCCGGCGCUGCCGGUGACCCCGGACGUGCUGGUGACGCCCUCGGAGCUGCGCUUCUUCCUCAAGGACGUCCUGGGCUGUGUCUGUGUCAAUCCCGGCCGUCUGACCAAGGGCCGGGCCGGGGGCACCUACGGGCGGCUGCUGCUGCGGAGAGAGCGGCACCGGGACAGUCCCGGGGAGAAUCCCGGGGAGAAUCCCGGGAAUGAGCCUGGGAACAAUCCUGGGAACAGCCCAGGGAACAAUCCCAGGGAAAAUCCCGGGAACAAUCCCAAUUCCGGGGCCGAGCCCCGGAGCAGCCCCUGCGUGGCCGCCCAGGUGGUGAGGAUCUGAGCUGGCUCCGGCAGGAGCGGGAACUGGGGAGAAAACAUCUGGAAUUGGGAGAAAACAUCUGGAACUGGGGAGAAAACAUCUGGAAUUGGGAGAAAACAUCUGGAAUUGGGGAGAAAACAUCUGGAAUUGGGGAGAAAACAUCUGGAACUGGGGGGAAAACAUCUGGAACUGGGGGAAAACAUCUGGAUAUGGGGGGAAAACAUCUGGAAUUGGGGUGAAAACAAUUCCUGGAAUUGGGGAGAAGACAUCUGGAAUUGGGGAGAAGACAUCUGGAAUUGGGGAGAAAACAUCUGGAAUUGGGGAGAAAACAUCUGGAACUGGGGGAAACAUCUGGAAUUGGGGUGAAAACAUCUGGAACUGGGGUGAAAACAUCUGGAACUGGGGGGAAAACAUCUGGAACUGGGGAGAAAACAUCUGGAACUGGGGAGAAAACAUCUGGAUUUGGGGAGAAACUCCUGGAUUUGGGGUGAAAACAAUUCCUGGAAUUGGGGGGAAACUCCUGGAUUUGGGGAGAAAACAUCUGGAAUUGGGUAAAAACAAUUCCUGGAAUUGGGGUAAAAACAAUUCCUGGAAUUGGGGUGAAAACAUCUGGAAUUUUGGUGAAAACUCCUGGAUUUGGAGAGAAAACUCCUCGAACUGAUGUGGAAACAAUUCCUGGAACUGAGGUGAAAACUCCUGGAAUUUUGGUGAGAACGUCUGGAAUUUUGGUGAGAACUCCUGGAAUUUUGGUGAAAAUUCCUGGAAUUUUGGUGAACCCCCCGAUGUUUCGGCACACGGAGGAAUUUCACCCCUGAGAAAAGGGAAUUUGGGAAUCCAGGCACGGGAUCCUCCCCGUCCUGGCGUCACCCCUCGCCCUCAUUAGAGUUAAUUAGCGCAAAACCAAUUAAUUACGGGCUCCUGGCGCUGCUGCUUCCCAGGAAAACACGAAGCUCCGGCUCUGACCCUUUUCCCAAACUUUUUGCCCCAAAUUUAUGAUGAUGAAGGUGAAAAUAAAUUCAAGUUUUUGUCUCUC